CGUGAGGAACCUGCCUCAAAGAGGGGGACAACAGUUGGAAACGACUGCUAAUACCGCAUAAGCCCACGGCUCGGCAUCGAGCAGAGGGAAAAGGAGCAAUCCGCUUUGAGAUGGCCUCGCGUCCGAUUAGCUAGUUGGUGAGGUAACGGCCCACCAAGGCGACGAUCGGUAGCCGGACUGAGAGGUUGAACGGCCACAUUGGGACUGAGACACGGCCCAGACUCCUACGGGAGGCAGCAGUGGGGAAUAUUGCACAAUGGGGGAAACCCUGAUGCAGCGACGCCGCGUGGAGGAAGAAGGUCUUCGGAUUGUAAACUCCUGUUGUUGAGGAAGAUAAUGACGGUACUCAACAAGGAAGUGACGGCUAACUACGUGCCAGCAGCCGCGGUAAAACGUAGGUCACAAGCGUUGUCCGGAAUUACUGGGUGUAAAGGGAGCGCAGGCGGGAGAACAAGUUGGAAGUGAAAUCCAUGGGCUCAACCCAUGAACUGCUUUCAAAACUGUUUUUCUUGAGUAGUGCAGAGGUAGGCGGAAUUCCCGGUGUAGCGGUGGAAUGCGUAGAUAUCGGGAGGAACACCAGUGGCGAAGGCGGCCUACUGGGCACCAACUGACGCUGAGGCUCGAAAGUGUGGGUAGCAAACAGGAUUAGAUACCCUGGUAGUCCACACCGUAAACGAUGAUUACUAGGUGUUGGAGGAUUGACCCCUUCAGUGCCGCAGUUAACACAAUAAGUAAUCCACCUGGGGAGUA
rnacentral:rRNA from 1 species